rnacentral:rRNA from 1 species
GACGAACGCUGGCGGCGUGCUUAACACAUGCAAGUCGAACGGAAAGGCCCUGCUUUUGUGGGGUGCUCGAGUGGCGAACGGGUGAGUAACACGUGAGUAACCUGCCCUUGACUUUGGGAUAACUUCAGGAAACUGGGGCUAAUACCGGAUAGGAGCUCCUGCUGCAUGGUGGGGGUUGGAAAGUUUCGGCGGUUGGGGAUGGACUCGCGGCUUAUCAGCUUGUUGGUGGGGUAGUGGCUUACCAAGGCUUUGACGGGUAGCCGGCCUGAGAGGGUGACCGGCCACAUUGGGACUGAGAUACGGCCCAGACUCCUACGGGAGGCAGCAGGGGGGAAUAUUGCACAAUGGGCGGAGGCCUGAUGCAGCAACGCCGCGUGCGGGAUGACGGCCUUCGGGUUGUAAACCGCUUUCGCCUGUGACGAAGCGUGAGUGACGGUAAUGGGUAAAGAAGCACCGGCUAACUACGUG